UACAGAGGUCUCAAGCGUUGUUCGGAUUCAUUGGGCGUAAAGGGUGCGUAGGCGGCGCGGUAAGUCGGGUGUGAAAUCUUGGAGCUUAACUCCGAAACUGCAUUCGAUACUGCCGUGCUUGAGGACUGGAGAGGAGACUGGAAUUUACGGUGUAGCGGUGAAAUGCGUAGAUAUACGGAGGAACACCUGCGGCGAAGGCGGGUAGCUGGGCCAACACUGACGCUGAUGCGCGAAAGCUAGGGGAGCAAACGGG
rnacentral:rRNA from 1 species